UCUCUCUCAUAGUCUGGUUAUUAUAUUGAGUUGGGUGAUUGAGAAUAUUGAUGGCCUUGUAUAUAAAGGUCUCCUCCAACCACGUGAUGGCAUUUACAUUCAGACGCUUUUUGACAGCAUCCUCAUCUUCCCAAAUCAGACCAAUUCUGGGCCUUCCUUCUUCUUUCAGUCUGGGCUUUCUUUCCAUUUCUGUAAACAUACAACAGAAUCUCUCCUGUGCUCAUGGAAGGCUCUGCCAAUGAACGUCUCGGUUUUGGGAAGAUGGGUUAUGGAUGCAAGCAUUAUAGAAGAAGAUGCAGGAUCAGAGCUCCCUGUUGUAACGAGGUCUUUGAUUGCCGCCAUUGUCACAAUGAAGCCACGAGCAUGUUGAGGAACAUCUUUGAUCGGCAUGAGCUCGUUCGAUACGAUGUUAAGCAAGUAAUUUGCUCAGUUUGCGACACAGAACAGCCGGUGGUUCCUGUCUGUACAAAUUGUGGAGUCAAUAUGGGCGAGUAUUUCUGUGAAGUGUGCAAAUUCUACGAUGAUGAUAUUGGCAAAGAGCAGUUUCAUUGCAAUGAUUGUGGGAUCUGCAGAGUCGGCGGUAGAGAGAAUUUUUUUCACUGCAAGAAAUGUGGAUCAUGUUAUUCAGUGGCUCUGCGUGAUAAUCACUCGUGUGUGGAGAACUCCAUGCGGCACCACUGUCCCAUUUGUUACGAGUAUCUCUUUGACUCACUCAAAGACACAACCGUAAUGAAAUGUGGCCACACGAUGCACUGUGAAUGCUAUCAUGAGAUGAUUAAGCGUGACAAAUAUUGCUGCCCCAUAUGCUCGAGGUCGAUUAUUGACAUGUCUCAAACAUGGAAGAGAAUAGACGACGAGAUUGAAGCGACAGUCAUGCCUGAGGAUUAUCGGUAUAAGAAGGUUUGGAUUCUAUGCAAUGACUGCAAUGAUACUACUGAAGUAUUCUUCCACAUAAUUGGACAGAAAUGCAGCCACUGCCUAUCAUACAAUACAAGAAAUAUUGCACCUCCAGUGCUUCCUCAAUGACAAGCCUAAAUUUCUGGAGCAAUUGUUUGCUAGGCGAACGAGGGGCCGUGCUGAUUGCAUCUUCAACCAUUUUUUCAUUUCCAUUCUUAUAUGGCUAGCGGGAAUUGGUUUUUGAUUCAAAACUGUAACAUUUACUUGCAUUCGUUGUCACAAGUGUUUGAUCUGGUAUUCUUCCUCCAACUCUUCGGAGUUUAAAUCCAAUCGAAAGAUCACUGGAUGUAACAAUCAGAUAUCGGCACUCUCGUGAUUAUAUGCCGUGACAGGUCUUUUUUGACUUAGUUACUCGCGCUGCAAUAUACACACACAAGUGCACUGCAUUUUUUAGAUCAAUUCGAGCAAUGAAGUAACAGGAUGUUAUCAAU